GUGCAGGGAGGAUUCAAGAAGGGUGCAAAUUUCUCUAAAAACCCAUUCAACAAGGACCGCCCACAAGGUGUUCGACGAUUUGCCCGAGUCAAGUUUGGGGGAAAUUUUGCACACCAAUUCACUUCAAAUCCCUUCCACAAGGCAUUCUCACAUCAUGGGGAAACGAGGACGUGACGGGGAGGGCACCUCACAAGGCGAAGGCACUUCAAAAGGCAAGGGGAAGGGCAAGAAAGCCG
rnacentral:lncRNA from 1 species